CUACGUGCCAGCAGCCGCGGUAAUACGGAAGGUCCAGGCGUUAUCCGGAUUUAUUGGGUUUAAAGGGAGCGUAGGCUGGAGAUUAAGUGUGUUGUGAAAUGUAGACGCUCAACGUCUGAAUUGCAGCGCAUACUGGUUUCCUUGAGUACGCACAACGUUGGCGGAAUUYGUCGUGUAGCGGUGAAAUGCUUAGAUAUGACGAAGAACUCCGAUUGCGAAGGCAGCUGACGGGAGCGCAACUGACGCUUAAGCUCGAAGGUGCGGGUAUCAAACAGGAUUAGAUACCCUGGUAGUCCGCACAGUAAACGAUGGAUGCCCGCUGUUGGUACCUGGUAUCAGCGGCUAAGCGAAAGCAUUAAGCAUCCCACCUGGGGAGUACGCCGGCAACGGUGAAACUCAAAGGAAUUGACGGGGGCCCGCACAAGCGGAGGAACAUGUGGUUUAAUUCGAUGAUACGCGAGGAACCUUACCCGGGCUUGAA
rnacentral:rRNA from 1 species